rnacentral:rRNA from 1 species
UACAGAGGGUGCAAGCGUUGUUCGGAAUUAUUGGGCGUAAAGGGCGCGUAGGCGGUUCGGCAAGUCUCUAGUGAAAUCUCAGGGCUCAACUCUGAGUCUGCUGGGGAAACUGCCGGGCUUGAGUGUGGGAGAGGAGAGUGGAAUUCCCGGUGUAGCGGUGAAAUGCGUAGAUAUCGGGGAGGAACACCUGUGGCGAAAGCGGCUCUCUGGACCACAACUGACGCUGAG